GAGAAAAAAAUUCUUAGUAACAUUUCAUAAUCAAAACCAAAACUAGAAAUAUCAUCAAAUAUAUUACAUAAGAAUAUUAUAGCUAACUUCAAAGUAUAGUACCUCCGUGUACACAUCUUCAAAAAUAUCUAAAUGAGUAUUGCAUCAAUAAUCAUAUAGUCGAAAUACAAGUUGGUUUCGUCAUGUUGCACAUUCAACUGUGGUAUCCAAAAACCUGCAAACAUAAGCACAAUUCAAAUUUUAUUACCCGAACGUAAAUCUAAUAAGAUCCUAAAAGAAUUUUAACAACAUAACUAUUUAACUACUCAUAAGCUAAAAUUAACGAUUAGAAAAUUAAAAUAUGGCUCACUUAAGUGCAAAUAUUAUAUAUUGGUAACUAGUGCAAAGACUAAGUUUAUCAUUCACAAUUUCUAUAUAAGAUAAUUGGGAAUUGAAAGUUCGAAGCUAGUUUGCAAAUACCUAGUUUUAAUGCAGAACAUGGCCAGGAAAUCCAUUAAACAUAUCAAUCGAAACAGCCAAGUAUUGCUAGAAUGAAUCGUUUACAUGAGUUGAAAAGUGUGUAAAAAAUACCUAGUUUUAGUCUCAAGCAGCUCAGUCCAGCUGACCAAAUCUCAUGACCUGAUUCCACAUGUGUGAGAUACAGUCUGAACAAAUAAGAUACUUUAGCAAUCAGAUGAUCAAGGCUUAACUAAAAAGCAUAAACGUAAGCUCAAAUAUUGAUAUAAACAUUGACUUUUGAUGUAAGAGGUUAUGCAUUGACAUUAACAAUGAAUGUAUACAGCCACAGCCUAAAGAAGUCAAAGAACUUGUCUCUUCAAGAAAAAUAACAAGUCAACUUUACAUUCUAAUAAUUUGUAUUUAAACGGAAAUUGGAAGAAUCCAACAUAUCAAAAUAGAUAUCCAAUAAUAAUAGGAAGACUAUUUAUCAUCAUAUCUUCUAGACAUCACAACCAUGGGUCCAAUUAUUUUGAUGUAUGGGCAUAGUACAAGAAAACGGUGUUCUCCAUAUAGCCCAGAGGCUAUUUUGAAACUGAAUAAUUGUCUUAAAAUGGAUUCAAGGGGUCAUCCAUGUGAGAAGUAGGGCAUACACAUUCCUACAACAUCCACAAACUAUCUCUUAUCUAAAUCUCUUAGAAUCUCAUGAGAUAUUUUCAGUUUGCCCAGUUGCCUCAUAAAAUUAAUCUAACAAUAUAUAAGCAACAAAUGGCAUUAAAACCAUUAAUGAAAACCUCUCCAUUUAAUACCUCAUCAAACAUUGUAGUUAGGGAUGCUUUCCUUCGCAACUAGCCAAGUAAAACAGUCACAAAUUGAGUCAAAAAGUUCUGAAUGCAUAGAAGGAAAAAAUGGAAGUAAAUCUUAAUCAAUUCAUUCUUAAUAAAUCAAAUUGAAAGGAAUCAAUGACGGUUCUCGUAAGCAAAGAUUAUCCCCGAACAAUGUAAGAUGAUUUUACUAAAUCUAUUAAGAAACUAGUGAAAUGAUUCCGACCUAACAAUUUAUCACUUACGAGAAAAAAGCGAAC
rnacentral:lncRNA from 1 species